UAUUGAAAUCUCUUCUCUUUCAAAUCAGUGAAAAUGUCUUGCUGUGGAGGAAACUGUGGGUGCGGAUCCGGUUGCAAGUGCGGCUCUGGCUGCGGAGGAUGCAAGAUGUACCCAACAUGACGGAAAUGAGCUUUGUGGAGAAAUCCACAACUGAGACUCUUGUUCUUGGCGUGGCACCCAGAAACCGCAAUUUGAGGGAUCUGAGAUGGAGUUGGGGCUGAGAACGGCUGCAAGUGUGGAGACAACUGCACCUGCAACCCUUGCAACUGUAAAUGAGAGUACAAAAGAGAGGCGUCAGGCGUUUCUCUUUUCUUCUUUGGAGUUGUGCGUUUUCUGAGUUUUUAGAAUAAAGUGGCCAUUGGUUGCUUGUUUUAUUAGCAAAUUCUCGUUAGGGAUUUGCUUGUAACGGCCAUGGUUGCUCUGUGUGUGCAAAUGCUAAAGUGAUGUACCGUCUCUGCUAUCUCAGGAGAUAUUUUAUA